rnacentral:misc_RNA from 1 species
GAUGAAGAACGUAGCGAAAUGCGAUAAGUAGUGUGAAUUGCAGAAUUCAGUGAAUCAUCGAAUCUUUGAACGCACAUUGCGCCCCUUGGUAUUCCAUGGGGCAUGUCUGUUCGAGCGUCAUCUACACCCUCAAGCUCUGCUUGGUGUUGGGCGUCUGUCCCGCCUUUGCGCGUGGACUCGCCCCAAAUUCAUUGGCAGCGGUCCUUGCCUCCUCUCGCGCAGCACAUUUGCGCUUCUCGAGGUGCGCGGGCCGCGUCCACGAAGCAACUAUUACCGUCUUUGACCUCGGAUCAGGUAGGGAUACCCGCUGAACUUAAGCAUAUCAAUAAGCGGAGGA